rnacentral:rRNA from 1 species
UACGUAGGGACCAAGCGUUGUCCGGAAUCAUUGGGCGUAAAGAGCGUGUAGGCGGCCUGAAAGGUCAGCUGUGAAAACUCGAGGCUCAACCUCGAGACGUCGGUUGAAACCAUCUGGCUAGAGUCCGGAAGAGGAGAGUGGAAUUCCCGGUGUAGCGGUGAAAUGCGCAGAUAUCGGGAAGAACACCGGUGGCGAAGGCGGCUCUCGGGACCUGUCCUGACGCUCAGGCGCGAAAGCUAGGGGAGCGAACAGG